UGAAGCAUAUGUGAGAGGAACAUUGUCU
rnacentral:piRNA from 1 species